AGUGAACGCUGGCGGUAGGCCUAACACAUGCAAGUCGAACGGCAGCACAGUAAGAGCUUGCUCUUACGGGUGGCGAGUGGCGGACGGGUGAGGAAUACAUCGGAAUCUACUUUUUCGUGGGGGAUAACGUAGGGAAACUUACGCUAAUACCGCAUACGACCUACGGGUGAAAGCAGGGGAUCUUCGGACCUUGCGCGAUUGAAUGAGCCGAUGUCGGAUUAGCUAGUCGGCGGGGUAAAGGCCCACCAAGGCGACGAUCCGUAGCUGGUCUGAGAGGAUGAUCAGCCACACUGGAACUGAGACACGGGCCAGACUCCUAAGGGAGGCAGCAAGGGGGAAUAUUGGACAAUGGGCGGAAGCCUGAUCCAGCCAAACCGCGGGGGGGAAGAAGGCCGUCGGGUUGUAAAGACCUUUUGUUGGGAAAGAAAAGCAGCAGGUUAAUACCCCGCUGUUCUGACGGUACCCAAAGAAUAAGCACCGGCUAACUUCGUGC
rnacentral:rRNA from 1 species